UAGAACUUGGCGGCNAGGUAUAGGCUGCAAGUCGAGCGGUAGGGAGUCACUCACCGGGGGGCGUUAGGCAUUAGGCUUUAGUCGUUAGUUUUUACUAACGACUGAUGACCAACGACUAACGCCUUCACGUGAGUGACUCCUGAGAGCGGCGAAAGGGAGAGUAACGCGUAGUUACGUGCCCCGAGGACCGGAAUAGCCACGGGAAACUGUGGGUAAUGCCGGAUGAUAUCUUCGGAUCAAAGGGUGUGAUUCCGCCUUGGGAGCGGACUGCGUUGUACUAGCUAGUUGGUAGGGUAAUGGCCUACCAAGGCGAUGAUGCAUAGCGGGCGUGAGAGCGUGGCCCGUCUCACUGGGACUGAGACACUGCCCAGACACCUACGGGUGGCUGCAGUUCGAGAAUCUUCGGCAAUGGGCGAAAGCCUGACCGAGCGACGCCGCGUGCGGGAUGAAGGCCUUCGGGUUGUAAACCCGCUGUCGUAAGGUGAGGAAGGCUCCCGUNGAAAGAACGGGGUUUGGACCUAUCCUAGGAAGGAAGGACGGGCUAAGUUUCGUGCCCAGCAAGCCCGCGGUNANUACGAAACCGUUCCAAACGUUUAUUUCCGGAAAUUCACUGGGGCUUUAAAAGGGUACGUAAGGCCGGGCGCUUGUUUAGUCCGGGUUGUGA
rnacentral:rRNA from 1 species